rnacentral:lncRNA from 1 species
GCGCCCCUGAGGGGCUGUGGUGAGGGAAGGCCGCCAUGUGCCCUCUUCUUAAUAAUAACUAGAAUGUUGGUAUUUGUUAAGCGCUUACUAGGUGCAGAGCACUGUUCUAAGCGCUGGGGGGAUACAAGAUGAUCAGUUGUCCCUCAUGGGGCUCACAGUCUUCAUCCCCGUUUGACAGAUAAGGGAACUGAGGCCCAGAGAAGUGAAGUGACUUGCCUCCAGGUCACAGAGCUAAGUGGCGGAGCUGGGAUUAGAACCCAUGAUCCCUGACUCCUAAGCCUGGGCUCUUUCCACUGAGCCACGGGUCUGCCCAAGGAACACGGGGGAAGGAGAUGCCACUAAGAGGGGCCAGCCCAGUCUGGCCUGAAGAUUUGAUGCCCCCGCCAUUGACCUUCUGGGCCUUCCCUGCCAGAGCCCACCGAAGGAGGUCUCUGGAUUUUCAGACUCUAUGUCCGAUCUCAUGAAGAACCUGGAGCAACUGAAUCUAGAUCUUGAAGAAGCUCUCAAUCAUGGCUCUUCUCCUUCUCAGACUACUUCUUUCAAGAGGCGAGAGCAGCAGUCUUCUGUUAAACUGGAUGCCGGUGAGAAUAGAGAUCCUCAGAGGAAGGGAAUUGGUAGAAAUAAGUGGGGAAGCUUCCAGAAGCUAGAUGACUGGCCAAACCCAAUGUCAGCUGGAGCACGCCCCAAAAUUAAAGUAAGUAGCUACAUUUCAGAAUAUUCUGGCUACCAUUCCGAGCUCCAGGACAAGUAAUAUUCCUUGGCCUAGAAAAACCUUCAUUGGCAUUCUUUAUUAUUGUUGUGUUAAGAUAAAUGUAACAUCGGGACUGCUAGGAUUUCCCGGGCAUGUUAAGCACAAGAAGAAGCGUACGAGAACGGAGAUCGUAAACUCCUUGUGGC